rnacentral:rRNA from 1 species
AGCGAACGCUGGCGGCAGGCCUAACACAUGCAAGUCGAACGAACCCUUCGGGGUUAGUGGCGGGCGGGUGAGUGACACGUGGGAACGUGCCUUUAGGUUCGGAAUAACUCAGGGAAACUUGUGCUAAUACCGAAUGUGCCCUUCGGGGGAAAGAUUUAUCGCCUUUAGAGCGGCCCGCGUCUGAUUAGCUAGUUGGUGAGGUAAUGGCUCACCAAGGCUACGAUCAGUAGCUGGUCUGAGAGGAUGACCAGCCACAUUGGGACUGAGACACGGCCCAAACUCCUACGGGAGGCAGCAGUGGGCAAUCUUGCGCAAUGGGCGAAAGCCUGACGCAGCCAUGCCGCGUGGAUGAUGAAGGUCUUAGGAUUGUAAAAUCCUUUCACCGGUGAAGAUAAUGACUGUAGCCGGAGAAGAAGCCCCGGCUAACCUCGUGCCAGCCGCCGCCGUAAAAC